GAUGAAGAACGCAGCGAAAUGCGAUAAGUAGUGUGAAUUGCAGAAUUCAGUGAAUCAUCGAAUCUUUGAACGCACAUUGCGCCCUUUGGUAUUCCUUAGGGCAUGCCUGUUCGAGCGUCAUUUAAACCUUCAAGCUAAGCUUGGUGUUGGGUGACUGUCCGCUUCACGGCGGACUCGCCUCAAAAUUAUUGGCGGCCGGUACAUUGGCUUCGAGCGCAGCAGAAACGCGAACUCGGGCCCGUCGUAUUGGCUCCCAGAAGCUAUCUUCACAAUUUUGACCUCGGAUCAGGUAGGGAUACCCGCUGAACUUGAGCAUAUCAAUAAGCGGAGGA
rnacentral:misc_RNA from 1 species